AUUGAACGCUGGCGGCAGGCCUAACACAUGCAAGUCUUUCGCAUAACUGUGGCUUGCUCCUGUAUUCAGCGGCGACGGGUUGGUUAAUGCCAAGGAAUUUGCCUUGUAGUGGGGGAUAACAUCCGGAAACGGCCGCUAAUACCUCGUAAGUCCUGAGGGAGACAUUUGGGGCUCUUCGGACCUCACUCUUUCAGGUGAGCCUUGGUUGGUUUUGCUAGUUGGUGGGGUUAAGGGCUCCCAAGGCGACGAUCAGUAACUCGUCUGAGAGUAUGAUCAGGCACACUGGAAAUGAGGCACGGUCCAGACUCCUACGGGAGGCAGCAGUGGGGAAUAUUGGACGAAGGGGGAAAGAAUGAUCGAGCAAGGGGGCAUGUGUGAAGAAGGAAUUCGGAGUGUAAAAUACUGGAAGUUGGGAGGAAGGGUAGUAAGUGAAUAGCAGAAAAUAAUGACGUUACCAACAGAAGAAGCACCGGCUAACUUCGUG
rnacentral:rRNA from 1 species